rnacentral:rRNA from 1 species
UMGGRAKMCGGCCCCSCYYWMCAGGGGUGGAWKRAUWUKKUUYYSRRRRACCCUUAGAGUUUGAUCCUGGCUCAGAACGAACGCUGGCGGCGUGCUUAACACAUGCAAGUCGAACGUGAUCCAGAGCUUGCUCUGGUGAAAGUGGCGCACGGGUGAGUAACGCGUGGAUAACCUGCCCUGGUAUCUGGGAUAACAUCUCGAAAGGGGUGCUAAUACCGGAUAAGCCUACGGGAUCUUCGGAUUCUGCAGGAAAAGGAGGCCUCUAUUUAUAAGCUUCCGUAUCAUGAUGGGUCCGCGUACCAUUAGCUAGUUGGUGGGGUAAUGGCCUACCAAGGCGACGAUGGUUAGCUGGUCUGAGAGGAUGAUCAGCCACACUGGAACUGAGACACGGUCCAGACUCCUACGGGAGGCAGCAGUGGGGGAUUUUGCGCAAUGGGGGAAACCCUGACGCAGCAACGCCGCGUGAGUGAUGAAGGCUUUCGGGUCGUAAAGCUCUGUCAGAGGGGAAGAAAUGAGUCUGGCUAAUAUCCAGAUUUCUUGACGGUACCCUCAAAGGAAGCACCGGCUAACUCCGUGCCAGCAGCCGCGGUAAUAC